rnacentral:lncRNA from 1 species
UAUAUUAUGAACCCAUAAUUUCAAAACUAUAAUACUACCAGUGCUAAGAAUUUUAAGGGCUGAACCCAUCAAAGUUCAACUCCUGGAUCGGCCUUUCGCUCUCUCUCAAGUACAAUACGUUCAGUUCUAAGUAUAUUAUGAACCCUUCUGACUGAUUCUUUUGUUUGUUUGAUUUUUCCAGUGUACUUCAAGGAAGUGUGGGUGAGCAUUGCUUUCACCACUGUAAAACAGCCCCAAUCAUAAUAGUUCCUGGAAAAGGUACUAUGUCCACGAAUUUUAUUCUCUAGCUUUGCUUCACUUCAUGUUUUGUUUUUCUAAAUUUUUCUUUUGGGGUGUUUGUGAUAGUUACAAAAAUCUGAACAAAAACUAAUUUUGUUAAGCAGAAGCAGGGGAGGAAUCUGUAAUUUAAUGGGAACUUGCCAAGUUUGAGUACUGCUGAUGAUCAUGCAGUAUAGCAGCAGCUUGUUUGCUAUUCACAGGAUAUUCCUUCAUAUUGUUGUAGAAGAAAGUUCUGCUAUUAUUGAUGUAAAUUUUUUGUUUUCUGGCGUAUUCUGGAUCUACUUUGUGUAUUUCACUAUUCAUGAUUUGUUUGUUCAACUUCAACUACCAAUAUGUUGUUAAUAUGAUUAAGAAUUC